UUUGAGGGAGACCUGCCCACUCAAGUUACCGAGAACAAGUAAAAGUUGUAAAUCGGUAAUGAGUUGGUCAUCCCAGGUCGGUCGUAGGAUAGUAUAUAUAUGCUUUCAAACUAUUAGAAUGGUUCGGUAAUUAUAAAAAUUAAAAAAAUUAACCGGAUAAGUUAARAUUCAGCAACUUAGCUUGAUGUUAGUAGCUAAGACUGCUGGAUUUAAUUCCAGUCAGAACCUUGAAAACUGCAUAGAGAAGCGAAUUGUAGGUAGUAAGUAAGAGUUAAGAGGGAUGAAAAAGACCAAUUAGCAAUUACGAGUACAGACAGGGAUGUGGAGAGU
rnacentral:misc_RNA from 1 species